rnacentral:rRNA from 1 species
ACCAGACUCCUACGGGAGGCAGCAGUGAGGAAUAUUGGUCAAUGGGCGGGAGCCUGAACCAGCCAAGUCGCGUGAGGGAAGACGGUCCUACGGAUUGUAAACCUCUUUUGCCGGGGAGCAACGGGGUCCUUGCGAGGGCCCGAUGAGAGUACCCGGAGAAAAAGCAUCGGCUAACUCCGUGCCAGCAGCCGCGGUAAUACGGAGGAUGCGAGCGUUAUCCGGAUUUAUUGGGUUUAAAGGGUGCGUAGGCGGGCUGUAAGGUCGGGGGCAAAAUGCGGGGGCCCAACCCCGGCCCGCCGUUGAAACUGGCAGUCCCGAGUUGGAGAGAAGUAUGCGGAAUGCGCGGUGUAGCGGUGAAAUGCAUAGAUAUCGCGCAGAACUCCGAUUGCGAAGGCAGCAUGCCGGCUCCACACUGACGCUGAGGCACGAAAGCGUGGGUAUCGAGCAGGAUUAGAUACCCCCGUA